UAGUCCACGCCGUAAACGAUGGAUGCUAGUCGUUGGAGCGCGAGCUUCAGUGACGUCGCUAACGCAUUAAGCAUCCCGCCUGGGGAGUACGGUCGCAAGAUUAAAACUCAAAGGAAUUGACGGGGACCCGCACAAACGGUGGAGCAUGUGGUUUAAUUCGAGACAACGCGAAGAACCUUACCAGGGCUUGACAUGCCUGUCGCGGAUCGCAGAGAUGCUUUCCUUCAGCUAGGCUGGACAGUGCACAGGUGCUGCACGGCUGUCGUCAGCUCGUGUCGUGAGAUGUUGGGUUAAGUCCCGCAACGAGCGCAACCCUUGUCCUUAUUUGCCAUCAUUAAGUUGGGCACUCUAAGGAGACUGCCGGUGACAAACCGGGAGGAAGGUGGGGGACGACGUCAAGUCAUCAUGGGCCCUUACGUGUAGGGGCUACACACGUGCUACAAUGGACGGUACAGAGGGGAAGCGAACUUG
rnacentral:rRNA from 1 species